rnacentral:miRNA from 1 species
CAGCCUUCUGGUUUGCCUGGGACUGAGUCAACUCCUUGGGACUGAGUCAACUCCUUGGGUCUGAAUCGGCUUGUAGUUGUCCUU